rnacentral:rRNA from 1 species
UGGGGAAUCUUGCGCAAUGGACGAAAGUCUGACGCAGCCACGCCGCGUGAGUGAAGAAGGCCUUCGGGUUGUAAAGCUCUGUCGCCCGGGACGAAAAGCCAUUGGACUAAUACUCCAGUGGCCUGACGGUACCGGGAGAGGAAGCACCGGCUAACUCUGUGCCAGCAGCCGCGGUAAUACAGAGGGUGCAAGCGUUGCUCGGAAUUAUUGGGCGUAAAGGGUAGGUAGGUGGUCUCAUUUGUCUGAUGUGAAAUCCUUGGGCUUAACUCAAGAAGUGCGUCAGAAACGGUGAGACUGGAGUCCUGGAGAGGGUCGUGGAAUUCCCGGUGUAGCGGUGAAAUGCGUAGAGAUCGGGAGGAACACCAGAGGCGAAGGCGGCGACCUGGACAGGUACUGACACUCAACUACGAAAGCGUGGGGAGCAAACAGGAUUAGAUACCCGUGUAGUCC